UGGUGAGUGAGGACCACUGCGUUGAUA
rnacentral:piRNA from 1 species